AAAAACUCUAUGCUCCUUUUGAGAACAUUUACAAACAAUUUUAUAUUCAAACCACUCUUUCCUGACCUAUUAUUUCGUGUCAACGCAACUUCUGUACCGUUUUUCGUUUCAUGAUUGUUGGGAAGAGACCAUCAUCAACAUUGCAAACGCGAGAACUACAACCAUUCAGUAAUAAGUUACAGCCAUCUACUGGCUGCCAUGUUGAUU
rnacentral:misc_RNA from 1 species